UCCACAUUCACCAGAAGCACAGCUAAGUGUCAAGGCUCAGGUUACAUCUUAGGAAGCAUUUAUGGGGAGGAGACAAGCAGGUUGUAAUCGCAGGCUUUUCAGAGACAUGUCCAGUCUCUCUGUGAGUUUCUUUGGAUCUCAUCUCUGGCAUUUUCCUGCUAAAAUCCAACCUUUCUACCCUUGCCUGACUGACUCUACUCUAAGGCUUUUGAUCUAGAAGAAUAGGUAUCUGAGGAUAGAGCAGUGAACCAAAGAGACAAAAGUCCCUGCCUCUAUGGAGCUACAUUCCAGUUGACUGCUAUAAUGAUGGCUCUCCAGAAUUGUUGUGGUCUGCUUUCAAGUUCUGAGCCUAGCUGCAUGCCAGAAUCACACCAUCUGAGGCUUAAUGAAUCAGCAUCUCCAAGCAUUUUGUAGAUUGGCAAAAGUGCCGCUAUCAAAGACAGGUAGAAUGACUCCUGUCUCUAGCUGCUUUCCUGGCACUUGAGCUAUGCAGUGAUAAUACAAGUUGGGAGGACUCAACAGAAGCCAGAUUUGGAAUCCAGUCACUCUUCACCAACUCCAGGGCUCCCCUCUUCUCAUCCUGGAUUGUGAGAGGCUUCUGGUUGGUUCCCCUCCAUGAUUCUCCCGAACCUGAGCCAUACACUAUUCUCACACAGCAAGCAGAUUGAUGUCAAAAAACUAAAUAAAGGGUGGCUUCCUGGAAGAAUGAUACUGGAGUUGAAUUUGAGAUGUUCCUUCUCUGUACCCCACAACACCCUGCACAGCUUCCCUCAUGCAUCGCUCCAUCAGUGUCUGCAUGAGUCAUGUCUUCCUUGGUGACCCUGCUUCCUGCAAACCCUGCAGCAGGUUGACAUUCUGGGACUGCUGCUCCUGGUGGUAAGCAUUGUUAAGCUUUCUGCUCUCCACCGUGCAUUGGGACUCCUCACCCGGAGGUGGUAACAGGAGUCACUUGUUUGACAGUGACCUUCGGCUCACAAAGUUGUUCAAAUGACCCUCUACAGUAGCAGAGAAAAUUGGACCCUCAGAUGGAUAGACAAUGAACUAAAUACUUCACACAGGACACCUGUCCCAGUUGUCCGGCAAGGCUCUUCAAGACUGCAGAGGAAUGACAGAAUACAGAGAUGCAAUCACCAGGAACAUUUGGGAGCACACUGCCAGCACAUUCACAGGUAUUCCCUCCUUGAAUAUGUUGAAUUCUCACAUUAUCCCAGGUGAGACAGACAUGGAGUUCGUUGACAGUGGAGCUGGAAUUCAGACUCAUGGCUUCCUGACUCUAUAGCCAGUGUUGGUUUUAUUGCCUUCUUGGGUUUAAGCCAGAAGAACUUGGGAAAACAGAAUCACAAUAUAUUAUGUUGAAAAUUGCCAUUCCUUUCUAAUGGAACAGAUGUCAUUCCCUGAUAACAUUUGCUGGUCCCCAAAUAUCCCAAGUUUCCCCCUCCCCGCCCCUGCUGGGAACUUCUUCCCUGCCACUGCGUUGAAAACCUGCUGUUUGAGACUGCCCCACUUGAUUCUGUCUCCUAUACCAAGAGAAGAUUCUUAAAAAUCUAAAUGAUAUAUAGAUACAUAUUGUUUCAGUGCAGGUAGGCGGAUGGAGGUCAGAUACAUGUUUUUGAAGACUGAACUCGCCAAAAAAACUUCAACUCCUUAUUGGGUGUGACUUCCAAAUAGAAACCAUUAUUGUCUUAUUUAUACUCAACACAACCACAAAACAUUUGUAAAGCAUAAUUGAUUGUAGAUGGCAAGAGAGGUCUCAGAGGCAGGUUCUCUGACCCUAUGAGCUCACGAUCUUUACAUCUGAAGAAAUAGGCUUCUAUGGGAGGUUUCUCAGUCUUCUCAACAAGGAUGUUGAGUCAUUGCAGUCACUGCAGAUGAUUGGACAUCAGAAACACCUCCUGAGUCAUCAUUUCCAUUGCUCAACAUUGACUGUUGUCAUCAAAACCAUCUACCCAUUUAGGCUUGCAAGUUGCCGAGUAGACAAUUCUCACUUUAUUCACUUUAUUCCCCAGUAUACUUUUCAAGGUAACAGAACUAGUAGAUAUGACUGGAUGAGAUGAAUCUUAUUUAUUGACAUGAAAGGUUGGCAGUCAGAGCUCUGGCACCCACCAAUACUGCCCCCAACUCCGUCCCAAGCAGCCUGCAGCACCAGCUUCUCACCCAGCUUCCCUUGCCUUUGGGGUCAGUCUGAGUUAGCUCCAGGGUCAGUAUUAACUCUGCAUGGUCCUAGGAUCUGCAACACACAGAGAGAACUUAUCCUGGGAUUGGGACCAAACUGGAAUGUGUCUUCUUUAAUCUCAGCUGGAGGCUUCAGGAUGUCACUUAAUUAACACCCAGGCUAGAAUUUUCACUCUGGAUUUGCAACCUUGGGCCAAUCUGAACUGGAACAAUUCCCCAGAAUCUAGAUGAGAAGGUUAUGACCCUGGCUCUGUUUAGAGCAUGUUCUGGUCCUGGGAUAGAGCCUGAGCCCCACUCCCUGCCUUUAUUCAGGCUGUUCCUUUCUCUGGGAAUUUCUCCCCACCUCCACACUCACUUGCCCUAUUUUAUUUUGUUUUAUUUUAUUUUUUGAAAUGGAGUCUCACUCUGUCACCAGGCUAGAGUGCAGUGGUGUGAUCUUGGCUCACUGCAACCUCCACCUCCUGGGUUCAAGCAAUUCUCAUGCCUCAGUCUCCAGAGUAACUAGGACUACAGAUGCGCACCACCAUGCCUGGCUGAUUUUUGUAUUUUCAGUAGAGAUGGGGUUUUACCAUGUUGUCCAGGCUGGUCUUGAACUCCUGACCUCAGGUGAUCCGUCUGCCUCAGCUUCCCAAAUUGCUGGGAUACAGGCGUGAGCCACCACACCUGGCCACUGCUGAAUUUUUUAUUUGAGACCUAUCUUUUAAGAUCCAUGUUUAAUUCUAUCUCUUAUCCAGAAUCCUUCCCUGUCCCUUAGUUGCAAAUGUAAGCUUAUUUCUUUUUUUGAAUGACAUCCCUACCUGCUUCUGUAUCUUUUAUGACCCUUUCCUAUUGUGUUAGUUGUGUAAGUGGCCACAAAUUUAACAACUUAAUGGAACACAUAUUUAUUAUUAUCUCACAGUUCUGUAGGUCAGAAGUCUGCCCACGGUGUGGCUCAUUUGGGUUCUCUGCUUACGGUCUCACUGGGUGAAAGCCAAGGUAUCUACCAGGGCUACCCUUUUCACCUGGGGCUUAAGUCCUCUUCCAAGCUCACUAGUUGUUGGAAGAAUUCAUUUCCUUCUCACAGUAUCUAUAUGUUUCCCUCCAUCUUCAAGCCAUCAGUGAUGUUGAGUCUCUGUUGAGCUUCAAAUCUCUGUGAGGUCUCCCUUCUGGUGCAUCUCUCUGCCUCCCUUUCUUUUCCAUUCUCAUCAGGGGAAAAGCCCUCCUUUUAAGGGCUCAUGUACUAACAUUGGUAUGGCCAGGGUAAUCCAAGAUAAUCUCCCAACGCUAAGGUCCCUGAUUAGUGACAUCAAUUACAAUGGCAAAGUCCCUUUUGCCAUGCAACAUCACAUACUCAUAGGCAUAGCCCCAGAGGGUGAAGGGCAUAGGAAGCACAAUUCUGCCUAUCACACCUAUCGAGCAGCCUCUGAUAUGGCACUACCUCAGAGAAGGUGGCAGUGAACUGCUAUGGAAACAUUGGAUUUCCCUGAUUGGCUGUCCUAGAAAAUGUCAUUUAAAUUCUAUAAGGGUGUCCCUCAGAGGUUCCCAAAUGUCUGAAUGUGAUCCCAGAAGAUUUUAGAACUUCUUAAGUAUGAACUAAAGGAAUCUUUACAAAAGCAAAUAAGGCCUAGACUUGAGUACAGUUCAGCUUCUUAGUAGGCACAAGCUUUCAGGUUUGGGGUCUUCUAAUCUCUCCCUCACCCAGAAUUAUAAAGAUCAUGCAGGGUCACAUAGAUGAAAGCAUCUGAAAACACUAAAAUGCCACACGAAUAUAGAAAGAGUUUCCUAUUGAUGCUGUAAGAAAUUACUAUGAAUUUAGUGGCUUAACACAACACAUGUUUAUUCUCAUACAGUUCUAAAGGUCAGCAGGCUGAAAUCAGUCUUACUGAGCUAAAAUCAAGGUCUCAGCAAAGAUGCAUUCCUUUCUGGAGGCUGGAGGGGAGACUGUUUCUUUGCAUUCAUCAGCAUCUAGAAGUUGCCCGCAUUCCUUGGAUCAUGACCCUCUUCCCUUUCCAAAGCCGGCAAUGAUGGCAAAGUCUUUCCCACAUUGCAACGCUCUGACACUCACUCUUCUUCUGCCUCCUGCUUCCUUAUAAGGAUGCUGGCGAUGACAUUGGGCCCACCCAGAGAGAUGAUCCAGGAUAAUCUCCUGAUUUUAAGGUCAGCUGAUUAGCAAACUUAAUUCCAUUAGUAAACAUAAUUCCCCUUUCCCAUAUAACAUAGUCAUGGGUUCUGGGGAUUAGGACAUGGACAUCUCUCAGGGGCCAUUACCUAUCUACCUACCAUGAUGAUUAUGAGAACAAAUCAGCACUCAUCUUCUUUAAGAUUGAUGUGCCUAUCUGGCUCGGUGUUAGGGCUGGGACUACUUCUACAAGGUUUUAGAAGCUACUGAUAGUAACUUUUUGCUUUCUGGCUCCACUCCCAAACCCCUCUCCUGUGGGCAGGCCAAAGUGACAGCUGCUUUGCAGGUCUUCCACCCUGGGUGUUGCCAGUUUGUUUUCUUGGGGAUAGCCCUGUCACUGGGCCUCCAAGUUUCUCCGUAGCUGCUGGAGUCAUGCAAAAUGGGUACUUACCCUGCAACCUCUUCUCUGGGAGUCAGCUUCAGACUAUUUCCUGCUAUCUUGACCUGAUUCUCUUCAUUUCUCCAUGUAGUUUGCAUACAUAACCAGUUAGCGUAAGUUCUAUUUAAUAUCCUUGCCAACUUAUAGAGUGUAAAUCUUUUGGCUUCAUUCACUCAUUCACUAAAACAUCUAUUGAGUGUCUACUAUGUGCCACACUAGCACCUACAGUCAACAGUCACCAGCAAGACUCUCAUUAGACUAUCUCUUAAAAUGCACAGUUGAUUCUCAUUAUGUGUGGUAGUUACAUUUUAUAAAGUUAUUGUGAACACGAAAUUAGCAAAUACUUAACCUUUGCUCCUAGGAAAAAUACAGGGUUAGGUUCCUGCAAGCCUCUGGUCAUAACUUUUUUGUCAACUGAUCAAUGUACAACCUUGUUUUAUGUGUGUUUCUGUUUAAAGAUAACUUAUGUAAUAUAUAUUGCUGAUUCAUUAAACUGAUAGCUAAUAACUAUAACUCAUGCCUGAAGAAACCUUAUCUAACACACGUAUUUUCUCUGUAAGCCUCAUCUCAGCCUUCUUGGACUAACAAAACUAGGCAGCCCUUUAGCACUAUACUUGGGAGCCAUUUUCAAAAGCAAAAUCACCACAAAAUGUCUAAAAAUGUGGAAAAGGUGGCACUUGAUAGACUACAAAAAAGUUUACAAUAUAUAAGACCUGAAACAAGAAGGUAGACCAUCACUUUGACCUAAGCUAAGAAUGUGCACUCCAAUUUUUCACCACUCUGUAUAUGUCCUCAAAAUUACGUAACAGCACCAAGCAUAUUGACUUAAGGAUUACAAACACAUUUUAGCAAUCAGGGAAAUUCAUGCAUGUGGAAUUCACAAAUAAUGAGGAUUGGCUGUAUUUUAUUAAAAAGAUGGACUUGAACAAAUCAAUUUAGAGGCAAUAUUGUUACAGGUCUCCCCCAAAUGUAAUACUUUA
rnacentral:lncRNA from 10 species